AUCUUUAGUUCCUUACAACUGACCAAAUUCCCAAUUCCCUUUUCCAUUAACCCUAAUUCAGUCAUUCCCUUCCCUCUUUUCUAGUCAGCUUCAGGCUUCAAAUCCCAUAACAUCCGACAACAAAUUCGACGGUCAGACACGAAGCUCCCGCAACAAUUUGAUUCGGUUCCCUCGAGCUUCCAGCGACCAGUCACACAAAUCACACCAGAGAAGAAAAAACAGAAGAAAUAGAAGAAGUGGAAGAUUGUCUGUAUAGGAGGGGGAAUGAAGUUUCUGGAUUGGUAUGUGAAAAUAGCAGUAGGUUCUGCUUUGAUUGGAGCUUCCAUGGAGUUGUUCAUGAUCAAGACCGGUUUCUGUGAGAAUCUUCCAUUUCAUCCUCUUAUUUGCAAAUCUUAACCUUUUCAUUUAUACUUGUUAUUGGAUUAAUGUCUUUAUGCUCUGAAAUGCUUCCAUCUGUUGCAUCUUAUUAGUUAAUUUUGGAGGUUCUUUAUGGAAUUUCCGUGCUUAAUCGGCUCCCAAUUCCGAAAGUUCUAUUCUUGAUUCUUUCUCUAAAAAAAUAGAUAGCAGAUUGCCAUUGACUUUUAGCUCUAGUUGUUUGAUUAACAAUAGCUUUUCUCUUCAGAUCCUCCUAGAUUUUGUUCAAAUUAUGUGAAUUAAAUUUUUGUCGCGCUUAUGAUUUUGAUUAAAAUUGGUAUAUUUGUUCAGAUUAUUGUAUAUUUCUUUUGUCUAGUUGUUAUGAUAAAGGAUGCAAUGUUUGCUUCACAAUUUUUCACAAUAUUGCUAUUGUAUGUUAAUGUUUUGAAUUGAAGUUUUGUUAUGAUUCCAUUCCAAGGAAUGGUCCUUUCAAGUUUAAAUUUCACGAGUGUUAAUUGGGUUAACAAUGAGCUUUGGAGUCUAACAUCUACUCGAGCUCAAAUUAAAAGUUGGAUGUCAUGCUCGGAAAUCAUGAAAUCAAGCAUCUUUUGACACCAUAGCAAACCAUUGCUCAUUUUUUGAAGUCUGUAGCAUAGUUGAGGUGCUUGUGAACAUGUCUUUGUUGGAUGAUUUGCUGAUUGAUUUGUGUGUUUGAGUAAGGCUUUAACCUUUUAACAAAAAACUUGAGCUUUUUCCAAUUCCUCUGUUAUUGUCAUUGCAUGCUUGCCCCUGUUGUUUGAUGUCAUAUAGUGGAAUUGUUCCGUGUUAGACUGCACCAAGAGCACCUAACACAUUUAUCAAUUAGUUUACGACUUUAAUUUACCUGUUAUGGUUUCAUGCAGAUGAUAAAGUGACUGUUCUGGAGUCAGAGAAGCGGGCAUGGGAGAGCUCCCCUGAAGCUCAGGCAAUCAGAGAAGCACUGGAUCCUUGGAGAAACCAUGAUGCAGAAGCAAGAAAAAGCUCCUAAGUUUUAUAUAAUCAAUUCAAUUAGCCAAGAACGUAGCUGAGCUUAAAAAAACAGCCCUUAAUGUCAAAGCUGAUAUGUUAGGUGCAAUGGUUGUGGAAGCAGCUCAAAUCCUGAAUUGCC
rnacentral:misc_RNA from 1 species